CGGGGACUGAUGUGGAAGAGACGCUAACAUUGCCUCGGGCCUUCGUGUAUGACUUUGAGCUUUUGAAAGAAAAUCUGUGUUAGCGACUAUGAAGUGCCGACAUACUUUGUUUAUCCAGUUGAAAACAUGCACCAUCUGUACAUCAUUCGUCCGAGUACAACUGAAUUGGAAGACCUGGAUGCUUAUACAGGGAGUUUGCUGGGUUGGCUAACACGUUUCCAAUCAAUACACACUGACUGAUGGGUAAUGUGGAGACUCUACUCUCAGGGUGUGAUUGCGUGUUGUGUUCACUUAAUGGCUUAAUAGCUCCAGGGUAACUGAGCUGCCUUGUUGGCAGCAGAGAUGUGUGGAAAUAACCUUAAUAAA